rnacentral:tRNA from 8 species
GCGGGCAUAGUUUAGUGGUAAAACCCCAGCCUUCCAAGCUGGUGUCCUCGGUUCGAUCCCGAGUGCCCGCACCA